rnacentral:snRNA from 1 species
GGAUGUGAGGGCCGCAACAUCUGGCACCGCAUUGAUCACCAGGGUUGAUUCCGCUGGUCUGGCUGGCUAGGUGGAUGUCCCUCCCUCCCUCCUCCACGUGUGUCCUCCCAAAGCUGCAUACACGCUUGGUCGGAGUGGAUGACCAUCUUCAAUAGAGGAGGACUGUUUUCCUCGGUCAAGGGUAUAUAUGUAGCUAUGGUUCCCUGCUAGACCCUCCAAACAUGCCCUCAAGACUUAAGUUGCUAACAUAGUACAGCUAAAGCAGGUGAAAACAUAAUUUUUUUUUUUUUUUU